AGGUCCUCUAAAAUGCACGUUGAAUGCACCAGUUUCCGAUUUAUCGCUGGAGUUAAGCAACGUUGUGCGUGGUUAGUAUCCAGAUGGAUGACCAUCUGGGUAAUUUCGUGCAGGCUUUU
rnacentral:rRNA from 1 species